UAGUAAUAUGAAUUUUUUCUGUGUUGGUGUAGUGUACUCACAAUAUCAUAUUCACCUGAGUACACUACACCAACACAGAAAAAAUUCAUAUGACUA